CCCUGGGUGGCUCAGUCGGUUGAGCGUCUGACUUCGGCUCAGGUCAUGAUCUCACAGUUUGUGGGUUCAAGCCCUGCAUCGGGUU
rnacentral:tRNA from 1 species